CACUCUUCGGGGUGAGUGGCAGACGGGUGAGUAACGCGUGGGAACCUACCUGGUGGUCUGGAAUAACUUGGGGAAACUCAAGCUAAUACCGGAUGUGCCCUUCGGGGGAAAGAUUUAUCGCCAUUGGACGGGCCCGCGUCGGAUUAGCUAGUUGGUGAGGUAACGGCUCACCAAGGCUACGAUCCGUAGCUGGUCUUAGAGGAUGAUCAGCCACACUGGGACUGAGACACGGCCCAGACUCCUACGGGAGGCAGCAGUGGGGAAUAUUGGACAAUGGGCGCAAGCCUGAUCCAGCCAUGCCGCGUGAGUGAUGAAGGCCUUAGGGUUGUAAAGCUCUUUCGCCGGGGAAGAUAAUGACGGUACCCGGAGAAGAAGCCCCGGCUAACUUCGUGCCAGCAGCCGCGGUAAUACGAAGGGGGCUAGCGUUGUUCGGAAUUACUGGGCGUAAAGCGCACGUAGGCGGGUCGUUAAGUCAGGGGUGAAAGCCCGGAGCUCAACUCCGGAAUUGCCCUUGAUACUGGCGAUCUUGAGUCCGAGAGAGGUAAGUGGAACUCCGAGUGUAGAGGUGAAAUUCGUAGAUAUUCGGAAGAACACCAGUGGCGAAGGCGGCUUACUGGCUCGGUACUGACGCUGAG
rnacentral:rRNA from 1 species